GUGCUCCCUGCCGCAGUUCAUAUACUAAAACUGGAACAAUAUAGAAAGUAUUGGCAUGACCCCUGCAUGAGGAUGACACACAAAUUCAUGACUCAUUCCAUGUUUUU
ensembl:snRNA U6 U6 spliceosomal RNA